UAGUCUAUACGGAUUGACACGAGGCAGCACGGACAGCAUUAUCUUGGAGCUUUUGUAACUUUAGUAUAUGAUCUUUGUUAAACUUACAUGAUUGAGCUCUAAAAACACUAAAUCAACAUCAUUUGUUUCAUUCCGAAUAUCAAAAUACAAAAAUAUAAUCUUGCUCUCUGUGCGAAACUUGGCAUUGUGGGAUAGAAAGACGACAAAAUGGCGGGCGGUUAUAUGGCCCAAAUGUUGGAUGAGUUAAUGGGUAGAAACAGGAACCUAGACCCAAGUGAAUCCAAAGCAGACUUCUCCUGGGAUAGCCCUGAGGUUUGUAAGCAUUUUUUGUGCGGUUUUUGCCCCUGUGAACUUUUUAUCAACACAAGAGCAGAUUUAGGUCAAUGUAACAAGAUUCAUGACGAGGACUUAAAAAGACAGUACAGUGAAAGCCCAAAAUUUCAAAAGAUGGGGUUUGAGGAAGACUUUGAAAGAUAUUUGAAUACUUUGGUAGCAGAUGUUGAAAGACGUAUCAGAAGAGGACAUCAAAGAUUAUCACUUAACAACAAUGCAGGCACACCAGGCAACCCGAACCCUAUAGCAAAGGAUGAAAAGAUAAAAAUGCUGACAGAAAGAAUAAAUGAUUUAGUGGAACAGGCAGAAAAUCUUGGUUGUGAGGGCAAGGUGGAAGAAGCUCAAGGUGUGCUCAAGCUCUGUGAGCAGUUGAGAGAAGAAAGAACUCAGCUUGAGACUAGCCUGAAAAUUGCUGCAGAGAAUGAGAAGCAGAUGGAAGUAUGUGAUGUGUGUGGAGCUCUUCUAAUAGUUGGCGAUGUACCGCAAAGAGUGGAUGAACAUCUGAUAGGCAAACAACAUGCUGGUUAUGCCAGAAUACGUGCCUAUCUUGAAGAGAAAAAGGACAAGAGGAAAAAGGUUGAAAUUGAAAGAGAAGAGCGACUGCGCAAGGAAAGAGAAGAGCGUGAGAAAGAAAGGGAAAAGGAACGUGAGGAGAGGCGGCGUAAAGAAAAGGAGAGAGAGGAUAGUCGAAGGAGAAGAAGCAGAAGCAGAGAUAGAGAAAGGAGAAGAAGUAGAAGUAGAGAAAGAAGGAGAAGGUCUAGAAGUCGAGAUCGCCAUUCAAGGUCAAGAAGAUCACGUUCACGUGAAAGACGUAGGUCCUCAUCUAGAAGCAGAAGUAAAAGGUCACGCAGCAGAAGCAGAGGACAUAAAAGUAGCAGACACAGGUCAAGGAGCAGAGAGCGUGAAAGGUCCAGGAGAGGCAGUAGAGAACGGUCAAGAGAACGUGACAGAAGAUCUAAGGAAAACGUUGAUGAACCAAAACCAGAUACAGCUGUUGAAGAAAAGGAAAACGGCAUCGAUGAAAAAUCUUCAACUGCAGAAGAAAUUAAGGAAGAGGUAGACCUGAAGGAAAGCAUUGAAGUGGGAAGUGGGGAUAAGACUGAUGUCAAUGAGGAUAGCACUGAGCCCCUCAGCAGCAAAAUCCCACCGCAAUCAGCACCAGAGAGCAUAGAAAACAGUGACACUUUGGAUUCACUAGGCUCUGAAGGUGAAAGUGAAAGCAGAACCUGAACUACUAGGUUUUCUUAUUGAUUCAAGGUAAGUGUUCAGUUUGUUCUCCAUUCAUCAGCACAGCUGAGUUGGUUGAUUUGAUUCCAAUGAUCAACAGGUGAGUGGGGUAUAUGUUCAGUGGAACUGCAGACAAUAGUAGUAGUAGUGCUGGAAGCUUGCCUGUAUGUGACAUUACUGGGUCAUUACAUUUGAUUGCUUAUGUUGGUUUCAAAGAAAAUGGGGGGACUUAAUCAUUAUACCUUGACAAUUACCCCCUCCCAUCCCCCAACCACCCCUCCACCCAGAAAAAAUGUUAAGGUACAUAGCAGCUUCCGAAUGAUGUAACAUUUCAGCCUGUUUUUAUGGAAAUUACACACAAAACUAAAAUGUUACUGAGGAAGAUAUGGUGUCUUCCAGUACUGCUGGGAUGAUGUGGCUUAAGGAUGGGGUCACCAUGGAAAUAUAAGGCUAUAUUUAUUAUCUUUGCCACCAUGUAUUGUCAUUUAAAAUUUUAUUAUUGAGGGUGGGAGACCGCAUGGAAGUAACUUGUGGCCGUUAUAUUUUUAUAACAUGUAUGGAGUAAAUUAAUGUUGGGGACAAUAUCACUUGCUCAUUUGUGCCUUCAUCAUGCUUUGACUUGAUUUGUUGUAACUUGACCGGUGACCAUGGAAACAGUGGUCUCCUGCUGAAGAAGGGGCUCUGCGCAGGGAGAACUUAUAUAACAUCAGCCAAGGUCACUAUGAUUGAUCAGAUUCUUAUAACAUCGGGAUGAUGCAGAUAUAACCGUUGUUCUACGCCAGCCUCAGACUCUGCAUCGACACUACUGGAAACAAAGAAACCAUAGCACAAGAUCAGCAGGUAUUUAUAUCUUGGACCCCUGUGUACUGCCUUCAGCCUAAUCGAUGAAAAAAAAAAA
rnacentral:misc_RNA from 1 species